GAUGAACGCUAGCGGCAGGCCUAACACAUGCAAGUCGAACGCACCGCAAGGUGAGUGGCGCACGGGUGAGUAACACGUGGGAAUGUAUCCUUUGGUUCGGAAUAACGUCUGGAAACGGACGCUAAUACCGGAUGAGCCCUUAGGGGGAAAGAUUUAUCGCCAAAGGAGCAGCCCGCGUCUGAUUAGGUAGUUGGUGGGGUAAAGGCCUACCAAGCCGACGAUCAGUAGCUGGUCUGAGAGGAUGAUCAGCCACACUGGGACUGAGACACGGCCCAGACUCCUACGGGAGGCAGCAGUGGGGAAUAUUGGACAAUGGGCGCAAGCCUGAUCCAGCCAUGCCGCGUGAGUGAUGAAGGCCUUCGGGUUGUAAAGCUCUUUCGCACACGACGAUGAUGACGGUAGUGUGAGAAGAAGCCCCGGCUAACUUCGUGCCAGCAGCCGCAGUAACAC
rnacentral:rRNA from 1 species